rnacentral:rRNA from 1 species
AGGACGAACGCUGGCGGCGUGCUUAACACAUGCAAGUCGUGGGCAUCUCGCAAGAGGUGACCGGCGAACGGGUGCGUAACACGUGAGCGACCUACCGAACCGCGGGGGAUAGCCGGCUUAACAGCCGGGUAAAUACCGCAUACGCCAGACGGGCCGCAUGGCCUGUUUGGGAAACCUCCGGGGCGGAUCGAGGGGCUCGCGGCCUAUCAGCUAGUUGGCGGGGUAACGCCCACCAAGGCGACGACGGGUAGCUGGUCUGAGAGGAUGGCCAGCCACAUUGGGACUGAGAAACGGCCCAGACUCCUACGGGAGGCAGCAGUGGGGAAUAUUGCGCAAUGGCCGCAAGGCUGACGCAGCGACGCCGCGUGUGGGAUGAAGGCCCUAGGGUGUAAAGCUCGUUUCGGCGGGAAGAUAAUGACGGUACCGCAGAAGAAGCCCGGCUAACUUCGUGCCAGCAGCCGC